UUGGCACUAGCGCUUUUAUUUGCGAACCCUUUUGUUUAAUCUUAAGGAGGUAAAGAGUACAUAUGUUGAGCUACUAAGGAAGUAAUAACCCCUAAAGAAGCUAGAGCGGAUCCGAGAGGAUGAUCAGCCACACUGGGACUGAGACACGGCCCAGACUCCUACGGGAGGCAGCAGUGGGGAAUUUUCCGCAAUGGGCGAAAGCCUGACGGAGCAAUGCCGCGUGGAGGUGGAAGGCCUACGGGUCGUCAACUUCUUUUCUCGGAGAAGAAACAAUGACGGUAUCUGAGAGGACUGAAA
rnacentral:ncRNA from 1 species